rnacentral:rRNA from 1 species
CACGUAGGGCGCGAGCGUUGUCCGGAAUUAUUGGGCGUAAAGAGCUCGUAGGCGGCCUGUUGCGUCCGCUGUGAAAGCCCGGGGCUUAACCCCGGGCCUGCAGUGGGUACGGGCAGACUAGAGUGCGGGUAGGGGAGACUGGAAUUCCUGGUGUAGCGGGUGAAAUGCGCAGAUAUCGAGGAGGAACACCGGUGGCGAAGGCGGGUCUCUGGGCCGUAACUGACGCUGGAGGAGCGAAAGCGUGGGGAGCGAACAGGAUUAGACUACC